AGGAUUUACAACUACAAACCAUUUUGGCACAAAUUAGACGUUACAUUUGUAAACUCCGAGCUCCCAGAUUCGGCAUGGGCAAAUCUUUUUUUAUUCACAGAAGAUUCACAAUUCGAAGUUUACUAAAUUAGUUGAAUGCUUGCAAAUGCGAAAUUAAAUUACACAUUUGCGAAUUACGAUACAAACUUGCAGAAUUAACUAACACAUUUGUUUAUCGUAUUUGCAACUACGAAUCUCAAUGUGCGACCACGAAAUUCAACAUAGAAAUGUGCGUACUUUAGUAUCCAACGUCCCAAACAUUUCCCUUCAGGACAAUUUCGUUUAAACUGGGCGUGCGCGCCGUGCUGUCAGCCCAUGCGCGUACCCGCGGUACGGAGGCGGUAGUGAUACCUCACUGCAACUGAUUUACUGAAAUAAAGGAGAAAACAAGAGAUGUCCUAUCACCCAGCAGGGUCUAAGCAAAAACAAAACAUUUGAUCGCAGAACAAGGACUAUGAGACAGAUCAUACAUAGAAGGUUGUAGUCUCUGAGGACUGAGCAGCUGACCUGAGGACCCCCCUACACCCUCACCCCUAGUCCAGAGGGCGAGAGCAGCCACUACAGCCACCAUGGUGCUGUCACAGAGACAACGAGAUGAACUAAACCGAGCGAUAGGAGACUACCUCCGCUCAAACGGCUAUGAAGAAGCCUAUUCCACCUUCAAGAAAGAGGCUGAGUUAGAUAUGAAUGAGGAGUUAGAUAAGAAGUACGCUGGUCUUUUGGAAAAGAAAUGGACCUCCGUCAUCAGAUUACAGAAGAAGGUGAUGGAGCUGGAGUCGAAGCUGAACGAGGCCAAGGAGGAGAUGACUCUAGGGGGUCCGGUGGCCCAGAAGAGGGACCCUAAGGAGUGGAUCCCCCGUCCUCCAGAGAGAUACGCUCUAAGCGGCCACCGCUCCCCCGUCACACGGGUCAUCUUCCACCCUGUCUUCUCCGUCAUGGUCACUGCUUCUGAGGACGCCACCAUCAAGGUGUGGGACUAUGAGGCAGGGGACUUUGAGCGGACACUGAAGGGCCAUACAGAUUCUGUCCAGGACAUUUCCUUUGACCAGACGGGCAAGCUGCUGGCCUCCUGCUCUGCAGACAUGACCAUCAAGCUGUGGGACUUCCAGGGCUUUGAGUGCAUCCGCACUAUGCAUGGUCAUGACCACAACGUGUCUUCUGUAGCCAUCAUGCCCAAUGGAGACCACAUAGUCUCCGCCUCCAGAGACAAGACCAUCAAGAUGUGGGAGGUGGCCACUGGGUAUUGUGUGAAGACAUUUACAGGCCACAGGGAGUGGGUGAGGAUGGUCCGGCCCAACCAGGAUGGUUCUCUUAUCGCCAGCUGUUCCAACGACCAGACGGUGCGUGUGUGGGUGGCCACCUCCAAGGAGUGUAAGGCUGAGCUGCGAGAGCACGAACACGUGGUGGAGUGUAUCGCCUGGGCCCCCGAUACCGCUCACCCCACUAUCCUGGAGGCUACUGGCUCAGAGAGUAAGAAGAGUGGGAAGCCCGGCCCAUUCCUUAUCUCUGGCUCUAGAGAUAAGACCAUCAAGAUGUGGGACAUCAGCACUGGCAUGUGCCUUAUGACUCUGGUGGGUCAUGAUAACUGGGUGUGUGUAACGUGUUCUAUCCUCCCUCUAGGUGGGUCAUGAUAACUGGGUACGUGGUGUGUUGGUGCACCCUGGAGGCAGGUUCAUAGUGAGCUGUGCUGAUGAUAAGACUCUGAGGAUCUGGGACUACAAGAACAAGCGCUGCUUGAAGACCCUGUUUGCCCAUGAACACUUUGUUACCUCUCUGGAUAUGCACCAGACUGCUCCCUACGUGGUGACAGGCAGCGUUGAUCAGACAGUCAAAGUGUGGGAGUGUCGCUGAGUCUGCCUGCUACCUCCCUCUCCUCAUCUUCCUCUCUACCCUCCAACCACAGCCCUAUACAACCUCCCUCUCCUCAUCUUCCUCUCUACCCUCCAACCACAGCCCUAUACAACCUCCCUCUCCUCAUCUUCCUCUCUACCCUCCAACCACAGCCCUAUACAACCUCCCUCUCCUCAUCUUCCUCUCUACCCUCCAACCACAGCCCUAUACAACCUCCCUCUCCUCAUCUUCCUCUCUACCCCACAACCACAGCCCUAUACACUCGCCCAACCUCCUGCUCUACUCUUCCAGAAGCAGCAUUAGUGCUCCCCUAAAUAGCAGCCUCUCCUCCCCUAACCACCUCCUUUAUCCCCACAAAAGCAGCCCUAUACCCCCUCCUACCCACAAUCCGACACUUUCUCUCUGACACUCACCUAAGCCCAACCUCCCGCACUCUAUACCAUUGUUACCCAGGCUCUGUCCCUCAUCUCCCGGCCCUGUUUUAAAAUAAAUAUUGAUUGUCCUUAUGUAAAUUAUUCUGGAUGUAGAGUAUGCUUAAUAAAUAUUACUCUCUCUCUCUCUCUCUCUCACUCACUCACUCACAUAGACACAACAACAAAAAAAUCAGUAUUCCUUGGAUGGUGACUUCCCCAAAAAAUGUGUAUACUGUACAUUUGCCAUGACGUGGGGGUCAAAGUGUAAAUGGUUCCUGUGUCCUUCCCCAGUGAAUGCUGGGUAAUUGUGACCGUGCACAUAAACCAAUCACAUCUGUUCUUUAAGGGUUUGGUUUGGGUUUUAUUUUGUUUCUUGCUGCCACUGUUAUUCUGACGCUACCUAGAAGAGGGAGAGAGAGAAUUGUGACGGAGGAGUAGAAUAAGAGAUGAAAUGCGUGUGCAUUUGCGUGCGUACUGUGUGUAUGUAGUCUGUGUAUGGAGGUAGAGAAUAGAGGUGUGUGUGUGGAGGCAAGGCUUUCUAUUCCUCUGUUUAUACUCCCUCACUUACUGGUAACUGACUGGCUUCUAGUAGAUACAAGGAUCUUCAAGAUCCCUAUGCUGCGAAGAACAUACACACAAAUGAACAGCCUUUCUUGCUCUGUCAUACACACACAUCAAGGAAGAUGCAUAGAUGAGCAGACUCUUUAUAUUUGUGUUACACACACCAUACACAUAAACACACUUCUGCUGUGGUGUGACCCAAGAGCACCCUGUGCCCACUCAUUCUCUGCUGUCUGCCUUGUUAACCCUCUUGAGGUCUCCCUCACCAAGGGAUUUCCUUCUGCUUUCUGUACUCUUACUGCUCUCUUUGUCACACACACUCACACAGAUGCACAUAAGCACAGUAAACUUGUGUUCCAAUAUCUGUAUGUGAUUGUUUGCAACAUAAAAAUAUCUGUAAAUAUAA